UAGUACAUCUAUCCAGCAGCACAUAUAUCCAACAAAUAUAUAUAUCCAGCAGUACAUGACCAUGACCAACAAACAUAUAUCCAGUAAUACAUAUAUCCAGCCGUACAUGAGUGCAAAGUCCACAUAUGGCAUACGAUGCAACAAAAGAUCACAAACGAAAGGACCGUAAGUUUCAGGUCCACACAGUGCAUACAUAUCCAACGAAGGUUCACAACAACAUACAUACAUCUGCAUCCAGAGGUUCACAAAUUAAAGGAUCAUGAGUUCCAAGUUCACACCAAGCAUGAACCAUGCAAUGAGCUCCACCACAGCAUAUAUGCCCACCAUCAACGCCAUCCACAAUGCAAACCUAUAAGUCCAUUAUCACACGCAUGAGUUUCUAAAGUUAAGUUACAAAGAUGGAUAAGGCAAAAGAGUCAACAGGCAUCAGCAUAUGAGGCUCAAAUAGAAGCUAGGAAGUAUGUACAAUAUAAACAUCAACACUUGUGGACUCUACCAUCAACAAUGCACAAGUUUUAAGUUGAGAAGCACAAGCAACGAGAAGACGCAAGCAUCAACAAUGGACAAACAUGGACGACUACCUCAAGUGAUCAUUGUUGCGGGGAGGUCAAAGCGACAUGAACCGUAGUGGGUGUCAACUGGACUUGCUUGGCCAGGUGAAGAUCCACCUACCACACAGUUAUU
rnacentral:lncRNA from 1 species